AUUGAACGCUGGCGGCAUGCUUACCCCUUCCAAUUCAAACGGAAAAGGCCGGCAGGGUCCUGACAGUGGCGGACCGGGGAAUAAUUGCACGGAAAGUGGCCCGGCCGUGGGGGUUAAUACCCCAAAGAGUAGCUAAAACCGCAUACCGACCUAGGGUGGAAGCCGGGGACCGUAAGGCCCCCCGGGGAUGGAGGCAGCGGAUGCCAGAUUAGGUAGUUGGUGGGGUAAAGGCUCACCAAGCCAACGAUCUGUAGCUGGUCUGAGAGGACGACCAGCCACACUGGGACUGAGACACGGCCCAGACUCCUACGGGAGGCAGCAGUGGGGAAUUUUGGACAAUGGGCGCAAGCCUGAUCCAGCAAUGCCGCGUGCAGGAAGAAGGCCUUCGGGUUGUAAACUGCUUUUGUACGGAACGAAACGGCUCUGGUUAAUACCCGGGGCUAAUGACGGUACCGUAAGAAUAAGCACCGGCUAACUACGUG
rnacentral:rRNA from 1 species